AUGGUGCUGCCAAUCUCCUUUACUCUGCAGGGAAGGAGACCAACUGUUAAAGGGUGGCUGGUCAAUGCCAGUGUGUGCUACAAAGUGACCGUGGGGCUGGACUUGCUCCAUUAUCUUACAGCACAGUUAAAAUAGGACUUGGAACUUGAAGCAACACAGCCUGCAGAGUGCUAUACAAUGACCCUGGACACAAGGCACCUGUAAAGAUGACAAUUCCAAUGGACAGCAUCGAGCAGGGAAUCAAAACACCCAAGGCAUCAUCUAGCUUUAACUCUGCACCCUAUUUAUACCAUCUCUACCACAUUAUCCUCAAGUAGAACCAUGGCUUCAACUGCAGUGAGAACAAAAACAUCCACGAUGACCACAUCGACUUCCGUUCUCUACUGCUGCUGAAUCCUCAAUAUGCCCGUAACAGAACUCAACAGUGUCCCCCGCAAAACAUACCCUUCCUCUCAUAUUACCCUCAAAACUACCGUCACCCACUUAGAUGCCCAGGUCACAAACCUAAGCAUUGUUCAGUUCUUCCCAUCUCUAUCUUGUUGUUUCUACCUCCUAAAGACAGAUCAAACUGGACUUCCCUGGUGGUCCAGAGGUUAAGACUCCACGCUUCCACUGCUGUAGGUGCAGGGUCAAUCCCUGGUCGGGAACCUAAGAUCCCACAUGCCACGUGGCACAGCCAAAAGACAGAUCAAAUCUAUUUUUUUCUCCAUCUCCACCAUCACAGCUUUAUUUCAACCUCUCAUUAUUCAAAUCUCUGUAUGUUGCUUCCAACUCAUCUCAACUUUUUUUUUUUAACCUGACAUUCUAAUGAUGUUUAUUGUGUCAAUUAUUCCCUGGUAUGUACAGUGUAUACUUCUGUACCAGAAAGGACUCUUUCUUCCUUUCCAACAUUUCCCACAUAUUGUCAUCUUGCUCAUAAUGAACGUGGGGAAUUCGUUUCACACCUUUUGUCAGUCCUAAACAGUGGGAGUCCUCCACAAGCUUCCCACCUGCUGAGGACUCUCCCCAAACCAACAGUUGCAGUGCCAAGUGUUGCUUUCUGAUUAGCAGUCUAAAAGGUGAGUACACAGGCGACAAAUGCAAGAGCUUUCUCGGGGUUGAAGCCUUUGCUAGGUGACUGUGAGGGUCAGUUCUAUGUGUCAAUUUCGAGAAGCUACAGCCCCUAGUUAUUCAAACACUAAGGUAGGUGUUGUGUAAGGUGUUCUUUAGAUGGGAUUAAAGUCUAUAAUCAGUUGACUUUAAGGCAGAUUAUCCUAGGUAAUCUGAGUAAACCCUUUUAAUCAAUGAGUGGGCCUCAUGCAAUCAGUUGAAAAGGCCUUCAGAGCAGAGCUACUGAAUUCCCUGAAGAAAUUCAGCAGCUUAUGCUGCAGAGUUCCAGCCUGCCCUUCAUCAUAACCUGCACCACAGGUUAUGCACCACAGACUAGGGACUUAAGUACCUAAGCAGUCCCCACAAUUGUGUGAACCAAUUCUUUGCUAUAAAUCUCUUUAUAGCUCCUAUUGGUCUGUGUUUCUGAUUGAACCGUUACAGUGAUCUACAUAAUUCUCUUCCCAUAACCUGUUUAGUGGUCACCCAAGCACAGGAUGUAUCACUCCUGUGUGGGUAUUCCCACAGCUCCACACAGUGCCUUGGACAUUAGCAAACUCAACUAGCUUCUGCUGGGCUCCUCUGGACCUCACUCCUUUUUCCUUGAUUUGUCUUAAGGCCUCCUACUUUGGCCCCUCAGUCUACUUCUACAAAUUAAGAAUUCCCAAUCUUCCCUCAUUACUGCUUCUGGGAGUGGCAGCAGGGCUCUGUGCUACCCCUCACCAACCAUCCUGUCUUUCUUUAGCCACCAUUUUGAGGUAUAACAUAAGGUUGUCUUUCCUAGUUUGGUUGCAGUUUAUGGACAGGACAGUUUAGGACAGGAAAUUUUUGUAAUUUCUUUCUUGAUUGAGAGUAGAGAGUCUGUGGAACAGUCUCACCCUGCCAUCUCCACCCUAAAGUCUUAAUUAGCAUUUAUUUCAUCUGCUUUCUCUCUGAGAUUGUGUUUACUCUAGAGAGGGGCAGUACCCUCUUUAUACCCUCUGGGUCUAAGCAAAGCACCUGGCAAAUAGGAACUCUUAAUUUGUUGGAGGAAAUAUAGACUUUUAACAUCUGAACAGAGGUGUUCAUCAAUCUAUUGAUAACAGUUCUUCCCUAUAAGUUAAAUCAACCUUCCUGAACUUUUAUCCUGGAACAAUACUUAACUAGAAUCGUACUACAUAAAUUUCACUGAAAGGUGGAAACAACCCCUUAAGUGUUCAUCAACAGACAAGUGGACAAAAUGUAGCACAUCCUUCCAAUGAACUAUUAUUCAACCCUAAGAAAGAA